UGGUUCUGGCAUCGAUGAAGAACGCAGCGAAAUGCGAUAAGUAGUGUGAAUUGCAGAAUUCAGUGAAUCAUCGAAUCUUUGAACGCACAUUGCGCCCCUUGGUAUUCCAUGGGGCAUGCCUGUUCGAGCGUCAUUUAUACCCUCAAGCCUUGCUUGGUGUUGGGCGUCUGUCCUGCCGCUUGUCGGCGUGAGGACUCGCCUCAAAGGUAUUGGUAGCGGCCUUUGCCAGCUUCUCGCGCAGCGAAGAUUGCGUCGAUUGGGGCAUGGCGGUGGGCUUGCUUCCACAAAGUUCACCACGACUUGACCUCGGAUCAGGUAGGGAUACCCGCUGA
rnacentral:misc_RNA from 1 species